UCUUUUUAUAACAUAAACGGUAUCUAAUUUACUACAACAGAUGCGCUUUUCGACAACUAAUGUCUCUUUAGUGAUGCUGAAAAGGUUGAUAAUUUUAGGAAGCCUAAAAAAACUGAAGAUGAGCAAAAAGUUGAUAUAAAGAAGCGCGAAGUCCAAUAUUUCUUGACAUGAAAAACAUUUCCGUUUUAUCUCAUCUUUCACCUUAUUCGUUUUGUGUAUCCUUCUAUGUG
rnacentral:lncRNA from 1 species